rnacentral:piRNA from 1 species
UGGUCUUGAGAACAGUUUGUGAAACUUC